rnacentral:tRNA from 2 species
GACAGCUUGGCCGAGUGGAUAAGGCGAUAGACUAGAAAUCUAUUGGGGUAACCCGCGUGAGUUCAAAUCUCACAGCUGUCG